AGACCUUUAUUAAUGCCUACGGACAGGCGGGUCGAAUGCCGA
rnacentral:sRNA from 1 species